UGUAAACGAUGCCGACAGAGGUUUGUCAUUUUAUAAUGGCAGAACUUUUAGAGAAAUCAUAGUUCUUGGGCUCUGGGGGAACUACGACCGCAAGGCUGAAACUUGAAGGAAUUGACGGAAGGGCACACCAGGGGUGGAGCCUGUGGCUUAAUUUGAAUCAACACGGGGAAACUUACCAGGACCAGAUGUUUUUUAUGACUGACAGGCUUCGGGUCUUUCAGGAUAUUGCUUUUGGUGGUGCAUGGCCGUUGGUGGUGCGUGGGUUGACCUGUCUAGCGUUGAUUCAGCUAACGAGCGAGAUUAUCGCCAAUUAUAUACCUCGCAUUGGCUUCAGUGUUG
rnacentral:rRNA from 1 species